rnacentral:tRNA from 1 species
UGUUCUGUGGCUUUAUAAGUUAAAGCACCCGUCUAGAAAAUACGGGGUCGUGGGUUCGAAUACCACCAGAACGA